rnacentral:rRNA from 1 species
GGACAGGUGUUGCAUGGCUGUCGUCAGCUCGUGUCGUGAGAUGUUGGGUUAAGUCCGCAACGAGCGCAACCCUCGCCUUUAGUUGCCAUCAUUAAGUUGGGCACUCUAGAGGGACUGCCGGUGAUAAGCCGGAGGAAGGUGGGGAUGACGUCAAGUCCUCAUGGCCCUUAUGGGUUGGGCUACACACGUGCUACAAUGGCGGCGACAAUGGGCAGCGAAGGGGCGACCCGGUGCAAAUCCCAAAAAGCCGUCUCAGUUCGGAUUGUACUCUGCAACUCGAGUGCAUGAAGGUGGAAUCGCUAGUAAUCGCGUAACAGCAUGACGCGGUGAAUACGUUCCCGGGCCUU